CAGCAUCAUGACAGUACUUUGUCCUGCCUGAUAAGUAUAAAUAGGGGGAAACUCUAGCAAAUAAGGGGAAACCUUUCCCUUCUGCCUGUGCACAGUUACCAAGAGAUCGGUAAACAAACACUGGACUCAUUUGCUUAAGUUGGACUGGAGUUUGGUGGCUCUCACUUUGAGGAUUAUGUGCUGCUGUGCCUUCAGCAAAGAUCUGCAGAGGUGCAUCUGCUGCAGCUUCCAAUGACUAUGAUUCAACUGUUAUUCAGAACAGCUGUCUACCUUCAAAAGAAAAGAAAAACCUUCUAGAUAUCUGUAUCUGCUUCUGUUGACUAUAACCAAAAGAUGGCAGCAUUCCAUUGGACACUGCUACACAGGCCAUAAAGCUGUGCACAAGCUGCAAUUGUCCAAACCCUUCAAGACGAAGCAAAACCUGUUAUUUCUAAUUGUGCUCAUUAGGCUUUUCAUCAUAAUUCUUGCUAUUCCAAAGCUUAUAUUGCAUGAUUAAGAAUAAUUAUUAUCUCAUGAAUAUGCUUUUUCUCACAAAACUUUACUAAAAUUGCCUGCCU